rnacentral:rRNA from 1 species
UACGUAGGGGGCGAGCGUUGUCCGGAUUUAUUGGGCCUAAAGCAUCCGUAGCCGGUUCUACAAGUCUUCCGUUAAAUCCAACUGCUUAACAGGUGGGCUGCGGAAGAUACUAUAGAGCUAGGAGGCGGGAGAGGCAAGCGGUACUCGAUGGGUAGGGGUAAAAUCCGUUGAUCCAUUGAAGACCACCAGUGGCGAAGGCGGCUUGCCAGAACUCGCUCGACGGUGAUGCAUGAAAGCUUGGGGAGCAAACCGG